rnacentral:rRNA from 1 species
AUGGGAGCUUGCUCCCUGAUGUUAGCGGCGGACGGGUGAGUAACACGUGGGUAACCUGCCUGUAAGACUGGGAUAACUCCGGGAAACCGGGGCUAAUACCGGAUGCUUGUUUGAACCGCAUGGUUCAAACAUAAAAGGUGGCUUCGGCUACCACUUACAGAUGGACCCGCGGCGCAUUAGCUAGUUGGUGAGGUAAUGGCUCACCAAGGCAACGAUGCGUAGCCGACCUGAGAGGGUGAUCGGCCACACUGGGACUGAGACACGGCCCAGACUCCUACGGGAGGCAGCAGUAGGGAAUCUUCCGCAAUGGACGAAAGUCUGACGGAGCAACGCCGCGUGAGUGAUGAAGGUUUUCGGAUCGUAAAGCUCUGUUGUUAGGGAAGAACAAGUACCGUUCGAAUAGGGCGGUACCUUGACGGUACCUAACCAGAAAGCCACGGCUAACUACGUGCCAGCAGCCGCGGUAAUACGUAGGUGGCAAGCGUUGUCCGGAAUUAUUGGGCGUAAAGGGCUCGCAGGCGGUUUCUUAAGUCUGAUGUGAAAGCCCCCGGCUCAACCGGGGAGGGUCAUUGGAAACUGGGGAACUUGAGUGCAGAAGAGGAGAGUGGAAUUCCACGUGUAGCGGUGAAAUGCGUAGAGAUGUGGAGGAACACCAGUGGCGAAGGCGACUCUCUGGUCUGUAACUGACGCUGAGGAGCGAAAGCGUGGGGAGCGAACAGGAUUAGAUACCCUGGUAGUCCACGCCGUAAACGAUGAGUGCUAAGUGUUAGGGGGUUUCCGCCCCUUAGUGCUGCAGCUAACGCAUUAAGCACUCCGCCUGGGGAGUACGGUCGCAAGACUGAAACUCAAAGGAAUUGACGGGGGCCCGCACAAGCGGUGGAGCAUGUGGUUUAAUUCGAAGCAACGCGAAGAACCUUACCAGGUCUUGACAUCCUCUGACAAUCCUAGAGAAUAGGACGUCCCCUUCGGGGGCAGAUGACAGGUGGUGCAUGGUUGUCGUCCAGCUCGUGUCGUGAGAAUGUUGGGUUAAGUCCCGCAACGAGCGCAACCCUUGGAUCUUAGUUGCCAGCAUUCAGUUGGGCACUCUAAGGUGACUGCCGGUGACAAACC